GAGUUUGAUCCUGGCUCAGAUUGAACGCUGGCGGCGUGCUUAACACAUGCAAGUCGAGCGGUAACAGGUGUAGCAAUACAUGCUGACGAGCGGCGAAACGGGUGAGGAAUGCUUCGGAAUCUGCCUCGUAGUGGGGAAUAACCAGCCGAAAGGUUGGCUAAUGCCGCAUACGAACUACGGUUGAAAGCGGGGGAUCGCAAGACCUCGCGCUAUGAGAUGAGCCGAAGUCCGAUUAGCUGGUUGGUGAGGUAACGGCUCACCAAGGCGACAAUCGGUAGCUGGUCUGAGAGGACGACCAGCCACACUGGGACUGAGACACGGCCCAGACUCCUACGGGACGGCAGCAGGUGGGGAAUAUUGGACAAGUAGGGGGAAACCCUGAUCCAGCGACGCCGCGUGUGUGAAGAAGGCCUGCGGGUUGUAAAGCACUUUUAGGUGGGGAUAGAAAAGCACAUUGCUAAUACCAGUGUGUCUUGACCUAACCCAAAGAAAAAGC
rnacentral:rRNA from 1 species